UACGAGCCUCACAAACGUUAUUCGGAAUUACUGGGCUUAAAGGGUGCGUAGGCGGCGCGGAAAGUUGGGUGUGAAAUCCCUCGGCUCAACCGAGGAACUGCGCCCAAAACUGCCGUGCUCGAGGAAGAUAGAGGUGAGCGGAACUUAUGGUGGAGCGGUGAAAUGCGUUGAUAUCGUAAGGAACACCCGUGGCGAAAGCGGCGCACGGGGUCUUUUCUGACGCUGAUGCACGAAAGCUAGGGGAGCAAACGGG
rnacentral:rRNA from 1 species